rnacentral:tRNA from 1 species
GCUCUCGUGGUGGAAUCGGUAUACACAACAGGCUUAGAACCUGUGGUCGCAAGACCGUGUGGGUUCGAAUCCCACCGAGAGCA